CCCUUAGAUGUUCUGGGCCGCACGCGCGCUACACUGAUGAAUGCAACGAGCUCUACCCUUGACCGAAAGGCCCGGGUAAACUUGUGAAACUUCAUCGUGAUGGGGAUAGAUUAUUGCAAUUAUUAAUCUUCAACGAGGAAUUCCUAGUAAGCGCGAGUCAUCAGCUCGCGUUGAUUACGUCCCUGCCCUUUGUACACACCGCCCGUCGCUCCUACCGAUUGAAUGGUCCGGUGAAAUCUUCGGAUUGCUGACCAAGAUCCAGCAAUGGAGCUUGGUUGCGAGAAGUUGAUUAAACCUUAUUAUUUAGAGGAAGGAGAANUCGUANCA
rnacentral:rRNA from 1 species